UACGAAGGGGGGCUAGCGUUGCUCGGAAUCACUGGGCGUAAAGCGCACGUAGGCGGCUUUCUAAGUCAGGGGUGAAAUCCUGGAGCUCAACUCCAGAACUGCCUUUGAUACUGGAGAGCUCGAGUCCGGAAGAGGUGAGUGGAACUCCGAGUGUAGAGGUGAAAUUCGUAGAUAUUCGGAAGAACACCAGUGGCGAAGGCGGCUCACUGGGCUGACCUUGACGCUGAGGCGCGAAGGCGUGGGGAGCGAACGGG
rnacentral:rRNA from 1 species